rnacentral:piRNA from 1 species
UCUGGUUUUCGGAGAGCUAUA